rnacentral:misc_RNA from 1 species
UAUUUGCGUUAGGGAUAGUAAUGAAAAGCCCACAGCGAGGUACGAGCGCGGACUUGCAAUGUAUAGCCCGACCCUUG